UACAGAGGGGGCAAGCGUUAUUCGGAAUUAUUGGGCGUAAAGGGCGCGUAGGCGGCUUUGCAAGUGACGGGUGAAAUCCCUCGGCUUAACCGAGGAACUGCCUGUCAAACUGCAUGGCUUGAGACCGGGAGAGGUGAGUGGAAUUCCCAGUGUAGCGGUGAAAUGCGUAGAUAUCGAGAGGAACACCUGCGGCGAAGGCGGGUUGCUGGGCUGACACUGACGCUGAGGCGCGAAAGCCAGGGGAGCGAACGGG
rnacentral:rRNA from 1 species